UCCGAGUUGUCCCCGGCAGUCCUCUUAGAGUCCCCGGCAUUACCCGCUGGCAACUAAGAGCAGGGGUUGCGCUCGUUGCGGCACUUAAGCCAACACCUCACGGCACGAGCUGACGACCUGGGUCAUCCCAUCUUUCGAAUGGGCCAGGACUAUACCUUCACCCGGUGGUCAGACACCGGGGCCGGCGUGUUGCACCGCUCAUAGAUUUGAAAGCUCUGGGCUUCCAGAAAGCGAUGCCAUUACAGUCUCUA
rnacentral:misc_RNA from 1 species